AAGUAAGGGUGUCCUUACUGAACUUCUUAUUUUUGGUGUGCAAGUCAAGAAUCGCAUACAUUCAGUUCUCACUUAAUUUAUAGGUUCUCUUCAAGAAUUAUUCAUGUAAAAAACAGUUCAAUUAGUAAUUCUUCAGCCAAUUGAUUAUUCGCCUAUUCGUUUCAAUUUUAUCUAAUGUUGGCUAUUGAGGGUAAAAUGCCCACAGAUUAGCAGUAGCCUUAGGCCAGUUUUUACUAGUGAAGCAAACAUUGUUUUUGUCUCAUUUUAAGUUACCAAACAAUAUAGCAAAACCAUGGGGUCAAUGUCGUACACAUCAACAUAUAACGAUCUAGAUGGUGUCUCAAGUCUCCCAUUGUGGACAGUCUAGUGGUGGCAAUUCGUGUACAUAAGUCGAGUUAUGGGCACGGUUAAGGCUAACAUCGAUACAAUAGAAUUAUUAGUUGGGUGAUUUUUUUUUUUCAAACGUAAAACACUGCUAGAAAAUUUUCCAAUGGGCACUGAUUUAGGUGUGGCUAUUGAUGACAAUGGCCACGGACGACCGUGUCCGCUGAGAGUACGCCAUGUAUUGGCCAUAGACACCCUCCAGCGAUAAUUGAAGGGCGUUGCUAGGAAUAUUGGUCACGGCUUAGCUUGUUAUUGGGACAAUUUUAUAUAGAGUCCCACUGAUUUUCCUUCAUGCAUUUUAACUUUUUAUUAAUAAUAUAUAUAUAGGGAUAGGAUCAAGGGACAAAGAUUUUGACAAAUAUUUUUACACUCUUUUGAAACCUUUAGAUCUUAUAACAUUCAACAGUGUUGAUUUGGAGACUUUUAAACAUUAAAUGAAUUGAAUGAUUAUGUGGAAUAUAUGAUAAAAAAAUAUCUAAUAGAAUAAAAUUGAAAAAAAUGUUUUUUAAAACAAAUUUAAAAUCUGAUAAAAAAAAUGUGAAACUGAAACCCACAAUGAAGAAGCCUAAAUCCAAAAUAUUCAUUCUUGGAUCUUGGGUUGUUAGAGUUUUGCUAUGGAGGUGACAAAGUGAUUAAGUUGUUAGAUUAAAAUUAGGGCGCUUAAACGUUAAACCUUCUCAAGACCCUAACUGUUUUUUUUUCUUAAAGCAAAACUUUCCCUUAGCUUAGUAUCAUGUUUUAUUAUUCACUAGGGUUCAUUGUUUGGAAAGCCAAGAAAAGUUUAUAUUUUCAGACAAAAAAAAAAAGAAGGAGAAGACUUUACAUCCAAGGCAUGGAGUUGCAGGCCUAAUCGGCAAACAAAGAGGUAGAUGGAGGUUAAAAAUAUUUUCAGGGUUUUGUUGAAAAAAAAUUCAAUUAUUUUUGUUAGAUUUUUUUUUUUAAAUUUUAAAUUAGUGUUUUCCUUAUUAGUUAUAACCCAAAUCAUCAUCCAAUUCAUUUAAUGUUUUAAAGUCUUCACAUUACUCUUAAUCAAUACCGUUAGAUGUUAUAAGAUCUAAAGAUUACAAAAGAGUGUAAAAAUGUUUUUCAAAAUUUUUGUCCCUUGAUCAUCAUCCAUAUAUAUAUAUAUAUAUAUUAGUCAAGGGCACUGCUUUCACAUCCGUGGCCAGUUUGGUCAGCUCUUCUUAUGCUUAAUCUGCGAUCUUCACAUGACUUAUAAACAUGACACAGUUAUUAAACUUGUUACAUAACAUUAUUGACACGAUAUUAUACCGUUCAAUAUCAAAAAGUACAAAACUGUCCACAAGAUAUAAUGGACAAUCAAUUAAAGGGGUUGAACUUGUCAUUCCACCUUCAAUUUUAACGAGUUAUAUAGGGGUUAUUGAGUUAUAUGAGUUCACCAUGUUUAUUUAGGCGUGUUAAUGGUUGACAAUGUUAUGACACAAACAGGAUUAGACCGAUCUAAAUUCGUUUAUUUUGUCCUUUUAGUGAGAGGUUGUCACAUCUAGGGAUGGGCAAAUACCCAUUGGUUAUGGGUAACCGUGGUUACCCGUUCAUUUAAAUUUCAUAGUUACGGUUAUGGAUAACCGUUUAAAUAAAUAAACGGUUAUGGAUAUAACCGUUUACCCGCGAAAUUUAAA
rnacentral:lncRNA from 1 species